rnacentral:lncRNA from 10 species
UCGUAGGGGAUAUUAAACAAUGCACUCUCAAUCAGAGUGGAAUCAGAGUGAAGGGGAGAAUGAAUGCUGGCAAUAUCUCACUCCGACCAAGCUGCCUGAGGAAGAGUCCUAAGAGCACCAACAAUCAAGAAUCCAGGAGAGGAAAAAGAAGCAAUGCCUCCAAAUGGGCAGUAUAAUUUGGGGUCAGAUAUGAAGCAGAUGAAGUCAGUAAAGAGAAGACAAAUGGAGCGACAGCUAUCCCAGUAUCCCUGCUUCAUAAGGCCCAUUGUUCCAGUCUGUUACUGUGCAGCUGUGUUUGGCUAGUUUCUUUUUGACCCUCACCUUAAUAACAGGCCUUUCCUUCACUUUCCACAUGCCCCAGGAUGUCUCUGACACACCUAGGGAGCGCCGCAAACUCCAAUGUUGCUGGGCAGCCCUGUUUUCCUCUUUCUGAGUCCAGAAGUGGUGCAGCCUGGGCCUUUACCUUGACCUUUGACCUCCCACGUCAUGAAGUUAACACGGUUCCUGCCUCCAGCUAAUGGUUUCCAACACUGCAGAACUGAGUCUAUUUUAUCAAUUACAUGAACUUCAGUCUUUGGCAUAAAGAUACUUAUUCAAUAUUGUAUCAGGUUGAAUGGUGGCUCCCCAAAACUAUGUCCACCCAGAACCUCAGAAUGUCGUCUUACAUGGAAUAAAGGCCUUUGCAGAUGUAAUUAAGGAGGAAAUCUGGACACAGACAUGCAGAGAAGGAAGAUUAUGUGAAGAGAUAUAGUGAAAAGACUCAUUAACAAGCCAAAGAGAGAGGUCUAGAGCAAAUCUGCCCCUCACAGCCCUCAGAAAGAACCAACUCUGCUGACAUCCAGAUUUUGGACUUCUAGUCUUCAGAACUAUGAGACAAUAAACUUCUGAUGUUUCAGGCACCCAGUUUGUGGUCUUUUUCUUUGGCAACCCUAGCAAACUAAUUCAAAUGGCAAUAAUAAUAGUUACCUCAAAAGGUGGUUUAUGGAGAUUAUUUAAUGUGGCAGAAGUUGUUGGCUGCUUUUUCCAAGACAUCACCUUUUCUUGCUAAUUAACAGUGCUCUAAUUUUUCUUUAGGUAACAGGA